rnacentral:miRNA from 1 species
UUGAGAGUGGUGGUGCAUGUCUGGAAUCCAGAACUCAGGAGGGGGAGGCUGGAAGAUUAGGAGUUCGAGACCAUCCUCAGCUACAAA